rnacentral:rRNA from 1 species
CCCAGACUCCUACGGGAGGCAGCAGUGGGGGAUAUUGCACAAUGGGGGAAACCCUGAUGCAGCGACGCCGCGUGGGUGAAGAAGUAUUUCGGUAUGUAAAGCCCUAUCAGCAGGGAAGAAAGAAGACGGUACCUGACUAAGAAGCCCCGGCCAACUACGUGCCAGCAGCCGCGGUAAUACGUAGGGGGCGAGCGUUAUCCGGAUUCACUGGGUGUAAAGGGAGCGUAGACGGCCGUGCAAGCCAGGAGUGAAAGCCCGGGGCCCAACCCCGGGACUGCUCUUGGAACUGUGCGGCUGGAGUGCGGGAGGGGCAGGCGGAAUUCCUGGUGUAGCGGUGAAAUGCGUAGAUAUCAGGAGGAACACCGGCGGCGAAGGCGGCCUGCUGGACCGCGACUGACGUUGAGGCUCGAAAGCGUGGGGAGCGAACGGGAUUAGAUACCCGAGUAAC